ACCACGAACGGGUGGAGCCUGUCGGUUUAAUUGGACUCAACGCCGGGCAGCUCACCGGAUAAGACAGCUGGAUGAUAGCCGGGCUGAAGACUCUGCUUGACUAGCUGAGAGGAGGUGCAUGGCCGUCGUCAGUUCGUACUGUGAAGCAUCCUGUUAAGUCAGGCAACGAGCGAGACCCACGCCAACAGUUGCCAGCAUGUCCUCCGGGAUGAUGGGGACACUGUUGGGACCGCCUCUGCUAAAGAGGAGGAAGGAAUGGGCAACGGUAGGUCAGCAUGCCCCGAAUUAUCCGGGCUACACGCGGGCUACAAUGGUCAGGACAAUGGGUAUCGACACCGAGAGGUGGAGGCAAUCUCCUAAACCUGUCCUUAGUUCGGAUUGUGGGCUGCAACUCGCCCACAUGAAGCUGGAAUCCGUAGUAAUCGCGUUUCAAAAUAGCGCGGUGAAUAUGUCCCUGCUCCUU
rnacentral:rRNA from 1 species